CUGGCAUUGGAAGACAGUCAGAAGAGAGGAAGUCUACCCCAGAGACUGUCUCUUCACCCAUUUCACUGAGGUCAGGAAGCAGCUGGGAGAAGAACAACAAGGUGAACAGGUCAAGAAAUGGAAAUCAUAUCCAAUCCAGAGGCAGCCAGCGCAGCUUGCUUUGUUUGGUUUUGAAAUUAUUUGAGAGUUAUUUUUCUUGUACCUCCUGAACUGCCUGUCACAUGUGAAAAGCCGG
rnacentral:lncRNA from 1 species